UGUUCGCCAUUUAAAGUGGUGCGCGAGCUGGGUUUAGAACGUCGGGAGACGGUUCGGUCCCUAUCUGCCGUGGGCGCUGGAGAACUGAGGGGGGCUGCUCCUAGUACGAGAGGACCGGAGUGGACGCAUCACUGGUGUUCGGGUUGUCAUGCCAAUGGCACUGCCCGGUAGCUAAAUGCGGAAGAGAUAAGUGCUGAAAGCAUCUAAGCACGAAACUUGCCCCGAGAUGAGUUCUCCCUGAGACUUAGAGUCUCCUGAAGGAACGUUGAAGACGACGACGUUGAUAGGCCGGGUGUGUAAGCGCAGCGAUGCGUUGAGCUAACCGGUACUAAUGAACCGUGAGGCUUAACCUUACAACGCCGAAG
rnacentral:rRNA from 1 species